rnacentral:rRNA from 1 species
AAUUCGCCCUUGGGGAAUUUUCCGCAAUGGGCGAAAGCCUGACGGAGCAAUACCGCGUGAGGGAGGAAGGCUCUUGGGUUGUAAACCUCUUUUCUCAGGGAAGAACAGAAUGACGGUACCUGAGGAAUAAGCAUCGGCUAACUCCGUGCCAGCAGCCGCGGUAAUACGGAGGAUGCAAGCGUUAUCCGGAAUGAUUGGGCGUAAAGGGUCCGCAGGUGGCAUUGUAAGUCUGCUGUUAAAGAGUUUGGCUCAACCAAAUAAGAGCAGUGGAAACUWCAAAGCUAGAGUGUGGUCGGGGCAGAGGGAAUUCCUGGUGUAGCGGUGAAAUGCGUAGAUAUCAGGAAGAACACCAGUGGCGAAGGCGCUCUGCUAGGCCGAGACUGACRCUGAGGGACGAAAGCUAGGGGAGCGAAUGGGAUUAGAUACCCCAGUAGUCCUAGCCGUAAACGAUGGAUACUAGGCGUAGCUCGUAUCGACCCGAGCUGUNCCGGAGCUAACGCGUUAAGUAUCCCGCCUGGGGAGUACGCAGGCAACUGUGAAACUCAAAGGAAUUGACGGGGGCCCGCACAAGCGGUGGAGUAUGUGGUUUAAUUGGAUGCAACGCGAAGAACCUUACCAAGGCUUGACAUBUCAAGGGGCCUAUUGAAAGAUGGGAGUGCCUUCGGGAACGUGA